rnacentral:lncRNA from 1 species
ACUGAGAUGAAGGGAAUCCAGCUAAGCAACAAAGUGCUUAUUUGCAUUAGUGAGUUGUUUUAUUUUAUGCAGAAUGCCUUUUCAUGUGCUUUCCUGAAGAACAUUAGAAUCACAUUUGAGUGAUUUCUAAGGAAGCAAUCAUUUUUUGAAAAAUCAAAUAUUAAAUAUAUGUUUAAAAAUUCAAAUGCUACGUCUCUGCUCCUACUCUACCCUCCAGUCCAGCCAGUCUUCUCCUCAGUGCUCAAUUGAUGAUAGAUCAAACUUCCAUCCAGCUUUCCAGAACAUUCCUUAUGUAAUAAAAAAGCACACUUGAACCUAUAGAAGACGGGAUAGAAAACUACUUCUGAAUAGCCAGUCAAUACGUGGCAGUAGAAAUAUAAAAAGUGGAUUUCCAAGCAAUUUUUCUUUUCUUUCCCUUUUUAUUUUUCAAAAGGACUUUAUCCCUUGACAAUGCCACAUAUAAUAUAAUACCCUAUAGUCAUACUCAUUUUCCUGUCUACUAUUAUCUUCCUCCUACACCUACCAAUCAUCUAUCUUCCAGCUGUCACAUUGUCUUUUAAUUUUUCAUUCCUGACCUUAGAAUUGCCAAUCACAUGAGCAAUGAUGUGGAGCUAUUGCCUGGAGAAUGAUUCUCCUAUGUGUGGCUACACCUGUAAAGACAAUGGCUUCCUAUUUUCUCAGAUGGCCCUGGUCCUCAAGGAGCCCCUCUCCAUCCAUCCUGAAUGUUUAAAGCUUUGUCUUGUCUAGACCUUUUGCAGGCAACCACAGCACAGCAGCUGAUACGAGCUCCUGAUUGCUCUAAAGUCUAGCUAAGAAAAGGAACUAUUAUGAUCCUGACUAUGCUUGAAAGGACUCAGAGAAAAGGCCCUAGCCUUUCUGUAGAAGGCUGUUUGAGAUUUAAAAGAAGUGUUUCUAAUUGUUUCCCUUGUGCAUCUGAUCCCAUUUACUAAGAAGUUAUUCUUUGAAUUGUUCUUUCUUAUUCUGGCUUCUCUGCUUCCUAUUUGAUUCCCCACCCCACCUUUUUGAGUUUGAUUAUUAUAAACUUUGGCUUCCUUUGAGUGAAAAGUUCAUUAAAAGACAAUGUACCGUGGAAACAGUGCCAAUGACCAAGAAAGAAGUAAAGACCAGCACCAUGGCCCUUCAGUCCAGAGUUGUUUUACUGUACCUUAUUAAAAACUAGCCACGAGGUAAAGCAAUCUUGCAUGGAGGUGCAGAUUUGUUGCAAAUGUCUGUGAGCAAAGUGCCUUGGGGCAAAGCUAGAAAUUACCUAAGAUGAUGUGGAAUUCAGACCUAUGAUUCUAUUCAGAUUAAGUUGGAUUAUAUGUUUUUAUUCCAUACAAAUAUAAUGUCUGUGAUUUUGUUUAAAGGCCCAAGAGUCCAGCUUUUUUUUUUAAAUGACUUGUGACAUUUCCAAUAGCUACCAAAGUUCAGUUAUCUGAAAAUCUGCUGCACAUAUGGCCCACUCGGAAAAUAAACUAUAUAUUGUUGACAUCGUCUCUUGAUGCCAUGAAAAAAAUGGAGUCUAGCUGAUGCAGUGAAAAAUCAGAUGUAUUUAUAAACCUAAAAUGUCAAUUUUCUAAAUUAGUUUCAAAUUUAUAUCUCACACACACAUACACACACACACACACACACACACACACACACACACACACACAUAUAUACAGAGAGAGAGGGGGGGGCUUGCCCUUACCUUUAUACUCCAUGAGGUCAUAUAAGAAACCACUCCAUGAUUUAUUUCUAGGAACUAAAUUUAUAAAAUAGAGAACAUAUGUGGUUGUUAUUCGCUGACAUGUAUACGUAUUGGCGACUGCUAUUACUAUAAUUUUUUCCUUAAUGUACAAACUCCUCAGUAACAUAGAAGGAAAUUUUGAAGUAUAUAAAAAUUCUUUUCAUGGGAUCAGCAUUGGCAAUAGCGUUAAACUGCCUAUGAACCAUUAACUGCUGGGGAGGAAUUAUUCCUACUGUUUGCCUGGAAGGUGCUUCUUCUUAUUAAACUGUGUAAGAUCUAUGUAUCAUAAAAUGACAUGCGGUGAGUUUCCUCCUCCUGCAUUUAGUAUUUAUUUCUAUUAAACAAUUCACUGCUUGCAAACAUGUACACAUACAUAUAUCUAUGAGAUUCCCUGCACAAUAAUUAUAUCCUGUGGUGUCACAAGGGUGUUGUUAUCUUUUUUUUUUUUUUUUUUUUCGUUUUAGCUUGUUACAUUUUGUUAAAUUUGGGAAGAAGCUUGAAAAAUUAAUUAAAAUCAACUUGUGUCUCAACAUUUCAAGGCAGUUGGGGAAUGGAAAAGAGCAGAAGACUAGCGAUGAGCUGACUGGCUACGUAAGACGCAGACACUUGUUCUUGAAAACGAUUGUGGCCUGACCAGAUUCUAUUUAGAGUACUGUGAGGGGAGGGCUUAAUAGCUAGCUGCAGUGAUACAUUUAUUAAGAUUACAAGUUGCAAAAUUGGUGGUUGAAGAUAACGGGGAAGAUGACAGCUAGCCUGAGAUAUUAGAAACAGGGAACCAUCUAAAUUCAGCACAGCCUGGAAGAAUGCAAAUGAAUAUAGUCAAGGCAUAGGGGAAUAAUAAUCUAAACAGCAGAUAUACUUUAGCUGAUAUGCUUGGAGAGGCAAGAAGUGUGGCUGCUGCAUUGGCCAGGCACCUAGGGAAAAUGAGCUGACACCACCUUCUCUGUUUACUUGGAGAUCACAAGACACACAAGCAUUUCCCUCUGCCUAGAAAUGCCUUUAUUUUGCAUACAAUUUUGAAUAUCUAUAAUAGAAUAAAGAAUAAAAGAUGAGGAUACACAGUAUAUACCUAUAGUAUAAUCCACCAGGACACUGAGGUGGAAGGACUAAUUAUGAGUUGAAGGGCAGUGUAUGCCAUGUACUAAUGAUACCUUGGAGAAACUAAGAUAAGAAGGGGGAAGGGGAGAGAAAUAAGGAGAAGCAUCAGGAGAAAUUAUUCUUCCAUUCUACCCUGCAGCCAAACUCUAGGCAAAGAAAGAUUGAAUUAAGGAAACCCUGUGUCCUAGUUAGGGUUUCACUGCUAUGAACAGACACCAUGACUAAGGCAACUCUUAUAGAGGACAACAUUUCAUGGGACUGGCUUACAGAGUCAGAGGUUUAUUUUAAUUCAUUAUCAUCAAGGCAGAAGAGUGGCAGUGUCCAGGUAGAUACGGGGCUAGAGGAGCUAAGAGUUUCACUGUUGUUCUGAAGGUAGCUAGGAGAAGACUGGCUUCCAGGGAACUAGGAUUAAAGCCUAUGCCCACAAUGACACACUUCUUCCAAAAAAGCCACACCUACUCAAACGAUACCACACCACUAAAUAGUGCCACUUCCUGGGUCAAGCAUAUUCAAACCAUUACACUAGGGUUUCCUCCAUCAUUAAAUUCUUACCCUGUCUGUGAUCUUGCAUAGGACUGUUAGUCUCUGAGCAUCAGUUUAUCUUAUAUACAAAAGGGAAAUAAUUGUCAGAGCUCCAUGGGAUAAACACUAAGUGAGAAAAUGACCUAGCUUGAAAUAUGAGAUAUUUUGAAUAAUGGAAGUUUGGUUGUUGAGUCAGGUUACAAAAGAAUCAGAGAAAACACUACUAGACAAAGAAGAGAACAAUAAGCAUAGAAGAUCACUAUUUAUGUUAGAGGCAAGGCCAGAUUCACAGGUGAGCAGUCUGUGUGGGUGCACAGGACCCUGCCUGCAGAAGGGUUGUGCUCAGUGGAAUGUGCUGUAUCACAUCUUCGAACUGUUUCUCAGCGCUCUCCAGGAUUGUGAUGCUGUUUGGAGCCCAGUUUAACAUCACUGUAAAAUGUUUGCUUCUGUAGGAUGUAAUCUACAUCUAUUCUAGGCCCUAUAGGAAACCAAGGGACUGUUAGUGUAAUAGUGUGCAUAUGCACCGUGGACCAAAUUAGAGGCAAGCUCAUUUUGGAAAGAGCUAGAACCAUGCUCUAUCGUGUACCUGCUUGUCACCAGAGACUCCCCAAAUAAAAAUGGAGUUACGGAUAAACUAGAAGACCUGUUCAGAAGUGUAUUUAAUGGACAGUCAGAAAUUCCAUUCCAAUGUUAUGUCCUGAGCGUUAUAGCUCUCACUGAUUAGAGUAUUUUACUGUGCUUAUUGGAAAGCUUCUUCACCCGCUGCUCCUUACACUUCUCCUGUUCCUCUAUUGCUUCUGCCUUACCUUAUACGACAGUCAUCACUUUAGCUGGGCCCGAAGGCGAUCAUUCUUAUUCAUUCCAUCAAUGGUUAUUUAUUGAGGACGCACUCUAUAUGCUGUAUAACAUAUCAACGGAAACGACUAUGUACCAGAAUUUACUCGGCAAGUAUUUAUUGACUACCCCUUCUUACUUUCUGACCCCUGGUUAAGAAUGUACACCCUGCCCUCCAGGAGCUUGCAUUUCAAAAUUUGUAUGC